rnacentral:rRNA from 1 species
GACGUAGGGCGCGAGCGUUGUCCGGAUUUAUUGGGCGUAAAGAGCUCGUAGGCGGCUUGUUGCGUCGACCGUGAAAACCCGGGGCUCAACUUCGGGCUUGCGGUCGAUACGGGCGGGCUAGAGUUCGGUAGGGGAGACUGGAAUUCCUGGUGUAGCGGUGAAAUGCGCAGAUAUCAGGAGGAACACCGAUGGCGAAGGCAGGUCUCUGGGCAUUAACUGACGCUGAGGAGCGAAAGCAUGGGGAGCGAACAGG